UGCGUAGGCGGUUUUCUAAGUCAGGUGUGAAAUCUUCCGGCUCAACCGGAAACUGCGCCUGAUACUGGAUAACUUGAGUGAGGUAGGGGUGUGUGGAACUUCCGGUGGAGCGGUGAAAUGUGUAGAGAUCGGAAGGAACGCCAGCAGCGAAAGCGGCACACUGGGCCUUUUCUGACGCUGAGGCACGAAAGCUAGGGGAUGAACGGGAUUAGAUACCCCGGUAAUCCUAGCCGUAAACACUGAACACUGGAGGACGGGGGCUUCGGCCUUCGUUCUCGUAGCGAAAGCGUUAAGUGUUCCGCCUGGGGAGUAUGGUCGCAAGGCUGAA
rnacentral:rRNA from 1 species